UACAGAGGUCUCAAGCGUUGUUCGGAUUCAUUGGGCGUAAAGGGUGCGUAGGUGGCGCGGUAAGUCGGGGUGUGAAAUUUCGGAGCUUAACUCCGAAACUGCAUUCGAUACUGCCGUGCUUGAGGACUGGAGAGGAGACUGGAAUUUACGGUGUAGCAGUGAAAUGCGUAGAGAUCGUAAGGAAGACCAGUGGCGAAGGCGGGUCUCUGGGACAGUUCCUGACACUGAGGCACGAAGGCCAGGGGGAGCAAAACGGGG
rnacentral:rRNA from 1 species